rnacentral:rRNA from 1 species
GAUGAACGCUGGCGGCGUGCCUAAUACAUGCAAGUCGAGCGAACGGACGAGAAGCUUGCUCCUCUGACGUUAGCGGCGGACGGGUGAGUAACACGUGGAUAACCUACCUAUAAGACUGGGAUAACUUCGGGAAACCGGAGCUAAUACCGGAUAAUAUUUUGAACCGCAUGGUUCAAAAGUGAAAGACGGUCUUGCUGUCACUUAUAGAUGGAUCCGCGCUGCCUUAGCUAGUUGGUAAGGUAACGGCUUACCAAGGCAACGCUGCAUAGCCGACCUGAGAGGGUGAUCGGCCACACUGGAACUGAGACACGGUCCAGACUCCUACGGGAGGCAGCAGUAGGGAAUCUUCCGCAAUGGGCGAAAGCCUGACGGAGCAACGCCGCGUGAGUGAUGAAGGUCUUCGGAUCGUAAAACUCUGUUAUUAGGGAAGAACAAAUGUGUAAGUAACUGUGCACAUCUUGACGGUACCUAAUCAGAAAGCCACGGCUAACUACGUG